UCAAGCAGGGAAAACAGCUAUUAACAGCUGAUAUGCUAUAACAGAUAUGCGACAACCGGCAUAUCUAACUCUA